CUAUUAAAGAAAAAAUAUGAAUUGAAAAGAAAUAUUAAAAUUGAUUUCAAUAUAUUUUCAAGCGCAAAUCUCGGCGAAAGAUAGUAGGACGCAACAAAGUAAAAUAAAUAAGUAGCGUGGAGUCGUGUUUUGUGCGAGUGUAUGCGUGACCCGCGCUUGAGUGUAUGAAUUCUGAGAAAAAUUCACGGCAUCACAGAUACCAACGAGUAGAUUAAAAACGGCAUGGAAAGAAGUGCUAUAAAUUUUGACAAUUGAGUUAAAUAACUUUUGCCAAAUAUUUUAAAUACUAAAGUUUAAUUAUAAUAAAUAUGAUGCAAAUAUUACAAGAAAAAUGUUAUAAUAUAUAUAUUUUUGUGUAAUUGCGUUGCGGUGCAUAUAAAAUACCACCAAAAUUGCAAGUACAUAAAUAUAUUGAAGCCAAGUCUUCAGUCAAAUAGGCAGGGUGGCAGGCAUUUACGACAGGAAAGACGCGACAAGAUUGCAAGAAAAACAACACCAGCGGUAUUAAAUAUAAUCUGCAGUAUAAAGAAGGUGGAGUUGUAGCAUCAAUUAUAUUUAAAAUAAAAUAAACAUUUUAAAUAUAAUAAGUAUAAUUUUUAUUUUAAAAUUGGUGCUCAAAGUAAUAUCUUAUAAUAUAUAAAUAAAAUAAUAAAAUUUUGUUAAUAAAAUGUAUCCUGCACCGGUGCGUCACCCUUCGGCUGGGGGACCACCACCCCAGGGACCCUUAAAGUUCACCAUCGUCGAUACACUUGAACGCAUCAAAGAAGAGUUUAAUUUUAUACAAGCACAAUAUCAUUCGUA